GGACUACCAGGGUAUCUAAUCCUGUUUGCUCCCCUAGCUUUCGCGCCUCAGCGUCAGGUUUGGCCCAGAAAACCGUCUUCACCACCGGUGUUCUUCCACAUAUCUACGCAUUUCACCGCUACACGUGGAAUUCCGUUUUCCCUAACCAUCCUCUAGCUCAGAAGUUUCAAAUGCAGCUCCGGGGUUGAGCCCCGGAAUUUCACAUCUGACUUUCUGAGCCGCCUACGCGCCCUUUACGCCCAGUAAUUCCGAUCAAUGCUUGCACCCUCCGUAUUACCGCGGCUGCUGGCAC
rnacentral:rRNA from 1 species